GGGUGUGUAGGCGGCAGCAAUGCUCCGUUGAGAGACGCGGCUUUCGGCAAGAACUGGAUUCGUGGCGCCACAAGCUCAUUCACUGUGUAGGUCCCGUUUCCCUCUGUGCGGCGGCCGGCGGGACCAUAAGGGCUUAACUCAUAUAUUUAACCCCCCUCCAAAAAAGCAUGUUACUCUGAGGUUUCUGAAGCACCAGCAAAUGGAUUAAGUAAAGGUCUGGGGAUUUUCGACAGACAAAUUGGUAAAAGUUGGAGGUGGCCAGCAGGCAGAAAAAGAAGACCUUUAGAUUGGCAUAAGCAAGGGGUUCACUUUGUCCAGCAAGACUGUCAUCCUUUCUCUGUACCUCGGAAGAGAAGAACUUCCUUUGCCAGUGUUUGGAUAUCCCCCCUCCCCAGUCAAUCCUUUCUGCACCUGGGGGUGCAGUGUCUCUAGGACAGCACUUCUCAAACUUCAGUAAACAUAAGAAUCACCUGGAAAGCUUGUUAAAACUAAGAUUCUUGAAUACCAUUUCCAGAUAUUCUGAUUGAUUAGGUCUGGGUUGAGGUAUAAGAAUUUACAUUUCUGUGGAACAAGCUGCCCGAUGCUGAUAUUGCAGGUCAGUGGACCACACUUUUGAGUAAGGUCUAGGGUCUUAGCCUUUAUGCGAGAGUCUCAGUUUCAUUUCUUAAGGCCCUUCUGCCCCUGCAUAUGUAUUAAAACCCAAGUUGGUUUUAAUACAUGGGUAACACAGCAUGUUACCCAUAUUAAUCAGUGCACUCUCAGCUCUGUCCUCCAGAUUCUUCAUUUCUGGUACGUGAGGCAUUUCCUACCUACCUUUUCAGCUUAGCUUGAUGUGUGUGUUUGUUGGGGAGGGGAGUGGGUAUACGUGUGCACUUAUCACAUAUUUUAUCCAUUAUAUAUAGUAAUAAGACUUUUAAGUUGUCUUCACAUACUUCUCUGAAUAGUUUGGUCCCACCAAUAAACCUAUCACUGUUCAACUGGAAGUUUCCUGUAAAUCUAUUUAUAGACCUUUUGGGAAAAUGCCAUUAAAUAAAUACCACAUUAUUUUGGCUUUAGUAUAUACUUAAUUUACGGAAAUGCAGUGCUU
rnacentral:lncRNA from 10 species